UUUGGCCUAAAUAUCCUAGACACCAGAUCCGAUCUGAUCUUGGAAAUGAAGUAGGGUCAGCCCUGGUCAGUACUUUGGUGGGAGACCACCAAUGAAGAUCAGGUGUUGCUGAGG
rnacentral:rRNA from 1 species